rnacentral:rRNA from 1 species
GCGGAGGAAAAGAAACUAACCAGGAUUCCCCUAGUAACGGCGAGUGAAGCGGGAAUAGCUCACCAUGUGAAUCUGUGACGGAAUUGUGAUCUGUAGACGUUGGCAUUAUUUGGGCUGGGUCAAGUCCCUUGGAACAGGGCAGCCGAGAGGGUGAGACUCCCGUCCACCUGGCCCUUGGAGCCUGCGUCGUCGAGUCGAGUUGUUUGGGAUUGCAGCUCAAAUUGGGUGGUAAAUUCCAUCUAAGGCUAAAUACUGGUGGGAGACCGAUAGCGUACAAGUACCGUGAGGGAAAGAUGCAAAGCCGCGCGAAAGCGCUGUUAAAGAGUACCUGAACUUGCUGAAACGGAAGCGAAGGAAACCAGUGUUGGCUGCGUCAUACUUCCUCAGCUGCUUGCGGCUGGGGCGCUGUGGCCAGCGUGGUCCGUCUUGAUUGCGGUUGCCGGAUUUGCGCUCGGGGAGUUGACCCGGGUUGC